GCUCCGGCACUUCGCUCUGUGGGAAUAUCAGUGUGGUGACUGCUUACCCGGGGGAAGUGUUCUCAGGGCACGAUUAGGUGAAGGCCAGGGAUAUUUCUGUUCGCCCAUGCAUCCGAGAAAGGAGUGUUAGACCUGACCCUGUUGUUUCUCCCAGCAGUGAGAACGUGGCCAUGGACGAGAAUUCCAAGUAGUGGCACUUCUGUAGACGUCGCGGCCCUUUUGGGGUUACUACUACCCAGGAAACUCACAUGCGACACGGGCGCCAGCUGAAGUCCAUCUAGACCCCCGCAGACCCAAGGUCACAAGUUGAGAACUCCCUGCCGUAGACAUUCUUCUGCACCUAGUGGUGGAGCAGGUGGAGCUGCACCUUGCACCGCCUAUUUGGAGACGGGUUCUGUACAGAUGAGUGUGCCCUGCUGCGAUCCUGCAAUCUUUGAUUGCACUAGAAAGAACCGCAUGGGAUUUAUUCUUCCCUCUUUCAAGAAACCUAAUGAAAUUGGGCUGAGAUUCCAAGGAACUGCUGGAAAAGAGUUAUCAGUACCAGAAUGAAGGAUCCUAGAGGGCAGAGCCCACCGUUCUAUUUAUAGUGUUUGUACAUUUUGAAGAUGAUUUCCAUGGAAGACUGUACAGAGCUACAAACUAGAUGUUGGAAUGGAUUUGAGGAUCCUGCCAGAGACUGAAGAUGCUGGCUCAGAUUUAUCUCAGAAUAGAGUUUGGCUCACCCUGCUUUCAUUCAACAGCUUCACUCAUUUAGACAUAGCAACCCAACUUCACACCCUCCACUCUCACACCGUUAGAAUGACCCUUUGGAACCUCAACUUUUGGCCUGCCUUGCUCCAUCCCCUUUUCACAAGGGCAGGUUUAUUGUCUACUAGCAAUCUUGACUAGGGCCUUGGAAGAGGAUUGGACCUUAUUUACAGUGGUCUAAUGAUCAAAGCAAGUCAUUGUUAAUACAUCAGUGUUACUACCUUGCUAUGCAUGUAACACUGGAAAACAGCAUAGUGCAGUCCAUUUACCAAAACCAAAUCUUCUUACUAGUUGACCAACACCAUGUGGUCCUGAGAAAAAAUGUGUAUAGAACAAUCCCUUACUGCUGUAUAAAACCAUUCCUUGCUUAAGGAUCACCUGCCUUUUGAUGUCUUUACACCAGUGAUUGUCAACUUGGAAUGAUUUUUGCCCCUCCCCUCAUGGGGAUAUUUGACAAUGUAUGGACACAUUUUUUAUUGACACAAUUGGGAGAAUGCUACUGGCAUCUAAUAGGACAGGGCCAAGGAUACUGCUAAACAUCCUUCAGUACACAGACAGCCAUAUACACAAAGAAUUUUCCCAACCAAAGUGUCAAUAGUGCUGACAUUGAGAAACUGCCUUAAAGAAUCUUCAGGUGGGAUUACAUGGGAGGUUCUGUUAGCAGUGGCAAAUCCAUACAGGUCUGCAGCAACCUCAAUUCUUGCCUCCUCAGAAGAAAGAAUUCAAGGAGGCAUUAGGCAAUUCGAAAGACCAAUGCAAGUUUUGGAACAGCAAUAAAAAUUUGUUUAAAAACUUUAGAGAAAGAACAAAAGGAAGGAAAGUCCACUUGGAAGAGGGUCAAGCAGGCGACUUGAAAGACAAGUGAGUGGUUUGACCUUUUGAAUUAGGAUUUUAUAUGUUGACAAACUUCCAGGGCUUGCAUUUUUUUCUCCCCUAAUUCUUCCUUUGGGGUGGGCUGUCUGCAUGUGCAGUUGCCUGCUAGCCCUUGGGAGGGGACCAUGCAUGGUGUGUUUACUGGAGCUGUACACAUGCUCACUUGAGGCGUUCUUCCCUUACCAGUUGAAUGUCCCUAGGAGGCCAUAUACCAGUUCACCUCUGCCAUUUUUCCUCUUAAUGCACAUGCUUGAGCCCACUCAUGCAACUCCUGAGAUCUUAUUGGGAAACUGUUGACUACCAGUUUCAGGUUUUUCCUAUCUGUUGGGAGACUGAAUUUCCCGGGCACUGGCGGCAACCAAUUAUUAUUUUAGAGAGGCAGUUAACAGCUGCCUGACCAUCACCUGAUGGUCACCUGACAUUCUUUGUAGGGGUUCGGGCGAGUGCUCUCCUGCCCUGCUCAUGAUCGACUAUCUACCCACUGUAGCAUUUCUCCCCUCAAGAUUCCAAGACCUCAAUUCUUUGGGAAGAAUGGAUGAUCAGCCUUUCAUAAAUCCCUCCUGCUGAUGGUG